AUUGAACGCUGGCGGCAGGCCUAACACAUGCAAGUCGAGCGGAUGAAGGGAGCUUGCUCCUGGAUUCAGCGGCGGACGGGUGAGUAAUGCCUAGGAAUCUGCCUGGUAGUGGGGGAUAACGUCCGGAAACGGGCGCUAAUACCGCAUACGUCCUGAGGGAGAAAGCGGGGGAUCUUCGGACCUCACGCUAUCAGAUGAGCCUAGGUCGGAUUAGCUAGUUGGUGGGGUAAAGGCCUACCAAGGCGACGAUCCGUAACUGGUCUGAGAGGAUGAUCAGUCACACUGGAACUGAGACACGGUCCAGACUCCUACGGGAGGCAGCAGUGGGGAAUAUUGGACAAUGGGCGAAAGCCUGAUCCAGCCAUGCCGCGUGCGUGAAGAAGGUCUUCGGAUUGUAAAGCACUUUAAGUUGGGAGGAAGGGCAGUAAGUUAAUACCUUGCUGUUUUGACGUUACCAACAGAAUAAGCACCGGCUAACUUCGUG
rnacentral:rRNA from 1 species